UUGUGUGUGCGCACUGCCAUACUCUCUCUGCAUACCUUAUUAGUCUCCGUGUCUGCUAAGUGCAAUCCUUAGUAUUAACUCAGAAAAUAUAGAAUUGAUUUUUUUCGCCCAGCAGCCCUGAUCUAAGGGCUCGUAAUUUGAAAUCUGAAAACCUGGGCCUGAGGAAGUCGUUCUGCGGUGACUCUACACUUCCUUGAACAAUAUCAAUGGUCGAAAAAUUCGAAAUUCAAGCAUCUCGACACUUUCUCUGUUUUGGAAGAAAAAUUGGAAGGUCUUGAACAGAGUCGUCGUCGGAGCAGGACAUCAGACAAACAGGGCAUCUGCAUUCCUCUCGCCACCCACCUUCCUGUGAUGAGCAACUUGAGGACCAAACAAUCACGGCCGACUCCCCUCCGUUCUGAUAAGGCCCUGAACCAGACAGGCCCACUUGAGCUGGAGAAACAAUGGCCUGUGGCGGAUCCUAUGCCUCAGUGAGAAACAACAAUGCAGGCCUCUUGACGGAUUCUGGCGUCGCGAGUGGGAGCUUGCAGUUCGCCAUGUCUGCUGAGCAGAAGUUGGAAGAAGAAAAGAUCAUCUUGUAAACAAUUAAUUAAUGUUUGUCAUGAAUUAUCAUUUUUACUUCCUUCUCGAGAGGCUCAAAGGGAAUAAAAAGGCAUUUUUGCAGGUGGUGGCAUUCAAAGUAAGGGCAAUCAAAGGUUUGAGAGCCGAGGCACAGCACUCCGAGUCUCUAAGGGUGAAUGGUGCUAGGAUUAGAGCGCAGCAGGGGGUUGAGGGCUUCAGGUGUGAAGCUUAAUGUUUGUGAUCAGCAAAAAAAGUCUCGAAUUUAUCUAAACUGCUCUUCUGCUAACAGUACUUCUAGCACAUAAAUGUUCUGAAACUGACAAGUGUUCUCAUUGCUCUUCUAAUGCAAACAUGAUCUGCAUUUGAAAGAUGCAUCCCUUUCGCCUAAUUUAGAAUGUGCAUCACAAAGAGCGUUAGAUGAUGACCCCACGAAGAGACACAAAACACCUUCUCUCUUUCUCUCUCUCUCUCUCCCUCUCUCUCUCUCUCUCUCUCUCUCUCUCUCUCUCUCUCUCUCUCUCAGCAUGCUGCAUGCAUAUGCACACAUGCAAACUGUAUCCUUCUUGCAUGGAUCUCCUUUGAAGUACCUAGCAAGGAUCUGGUGUGACUGAUUCUUUUCUUCCUUUCUAGAUUUCUAGACCCUCAAAUUAGAUGACUAAUCAAUCAUCUUGUCCAUGAGGUCUAAAUUUUUCAUUUAAUUUGGUUAAUUGCCUAGAGUUUGUUAUCCUAACUUUUAAUUUGACCAACUUUUUCCUGUCCACUUUCUAUCAGUAGCAGUAUGUUGAAGGUAUCUGACUCAUUCAAAAAUUUAAAAUAUAUACCAUGCCUAAGAUGUUAAAAUUUCCUAAAGAACUCAGAGCAAUGUAUGUGACUGCCUAGAACUAGUGAUGUAGGCAGGUACUGCCAGUGCCUUUAAGGUUGCUAUAGUCCAUAGAAACACAUCUUGCUACUUUCUAGCUCCCUCUUCAGAAUUUACUACUGAGCUCCACUCCUUUUGUCUCUGUAUUAUAAACCAACAUCAUUCACUUCCUGAACCCCAAAAAGAAAAAUAAAAUAUGACGUAAAAUGUU